UCUGGUGGCGAUGCGCUUAGGGGACACACCCGUUCCCAUCCCGAACACGAUGGUUAAGACCUAAGCGGCCGAUGGUACUUUACUGGAGACGGUACGGGAGAGUAGGUGGCUGCCAGAU
rnacentral:rRNA from 1 species